rnacentral:rRNA from 1 species
GACGAACGCUGGCGGCGUGCUUAACACAUGCAAGUCGAACGCUGAAGCCCAGCUUGCUGGGUGGAUGAGUGGCGAACGGGUGAGUAACACGUGAGUAACCUGCCCCCUUCUUUGGGAUAACGCCCGGAAACGGGUGCUAAUACUGGAUAUUCACUGGCUUUCGCAUGGGGGUUGGUGGAAAGGUUUUUCCUGGUGGGGGAUGGGCUCGCGGCCUAUCAGCUUGUUGGUGGGGUGAUGGCUUACCAAGGCUUUGACGGGUAACCGGCCUGAGAGGGUGACCGGUCACAUUGGGACUGAGAUACGGCCCAGACUCCUACGGGAGGCAGCAGUGGGGAAUAUUGCACAAUGGGCGAAAGCCUGAUGCAGCGACGCCGCGUGAGGGAUGACGGCCUUCGGGUUGUAAACCUCUUUCGCUCAUGGUCAAGCCGCAACAGUGGUUGUGGUGAGGGUAGUGGGUAAAGAAGCACCGGCUAACUACGUGCCAGCAGCCGCGGUAAUACGUAGGGUGCGAGCGUUGUCCGGAAUUAUUGGGCGUAAAGGGCUUGUAGGCGGUUUGUCGCGUCUGCCGUGAAAUCCUCUGGCUUAACUGGGGGCGUGCGGUGGGUACGGGCAGGCUUGAGUGCGGUAGGGGAGACUGGAACUCCUGGUGUAGCGGUGGAAUGCGCAGAUAUCAGGAAGAACACCGGUGGCGAAGGCGGGUCUCUGGGCCGUUACUGACGCUGAGGAGCGAAAGCGUGGGGAGCGAACAGG